AUCGCUUCUCGGCCUUUUGGCUAAGAUCAAGUGUAGUAUCUGUUCUUAUCAGUUUAAAUAAGCGUAUUAUUAAAAUUAAUUUCACUCAUU
ensembl:snRNA U2 U2 spliceosomal RNA